AUUCUUUUAGUAUUAACUAGUACUACUGACUUCCAAUCAGUUAGUUCCGGCACUAACCCGGAAAAGAAUA
rnacentral:tRNA from 1 species